CAGUAGCCGCGGUAAUACAGAGGGUGCGAGCGUUAAUCGGAUUUACUGGGCGUAAAGCGCACGUAGGCGGAUAUUUAAGUCAGGGGUGAAAUCCCGCAGCUCAACUGCGGAACUGCCUUUGAUACUGGGUAUCUUGAGUAUGGAAGAGGUUAGUGGAAUUGCGAGUGUAGAGGUGAAAUUCGUAGAUAUUCGCAGGAACACCAGUGGCGAAGGCGGCUAACUGGUCCAUAACUGACGCUGAGGUGCGAAAGCGUGGGGAGCAAACAGGAUUAGAUACCCCAGUAGUCCCUGUCUCUUAUAC
rnacentral:rRNA from 1 species